rnacentral:rRNA from 1 species
GAUGAACGCUGGCGGCGUGCCUAAUACAUGCAAGUCGAGCGAACGGACGAGAAGCUUGCUUCUCUGAUGUUAGCGGCGGACGGGUGAGUAACACGUGGAUAACCUACCUAUAAGACUGGGAUAACUUCGGGAAACCGGAGCUUAUACCGGAUGAUAUUUUGAACCGCAUGGUUCAAAAGUGAAAGACGGUCUUGCUGUCACUUAUAGAUGGAUCCGGGCUGCAUUAGCUAGUUGGUAAGGUAACGGCUUACCAAGGCAACGAUGCAUAGCCAACCUGAGAGGGUGAUCGGCCCCACUGGAACUGGAACACGGUCAGGACUCCUCCGGGAGGCAGCAGUAGGGAAUCUUCCGCAAGGAGCGAAAGCCUGACGGAGCAAGGCCGCGUGAGUGAUGAAGGUCUUCGGAUCGUAAAACUCUGUUAUUAGGGAAGAACAUAUGUGUAAGUAACUGUGCACAUCUUGACGGUACCUAAUCAGAAAGCCACGGCUAACUACGUG